UACGUGCUGCAAUGCACAUAUUUAUGGAGAAUCUGGGAAUACAAAGUUGAAUAAUUUGUAAUCCCUACUCUUAGGGAGCUCAGUGUCCAGGUCAUUUAAAUCAACUGGGAAGCUUUUGAAAAACUCCCAGUGCCCAGCCUGCACCCCGAGGCUGUUAAAUGAGAAUCCCCUGAUUCAGACUGGGCUGUGACAUCAGCCUUUUAAAGUUCAUCAGUGGUUCUGAAGAAGAGUCCCUUCAGAAAGGGCAGGACCAGUUCUUGAGCUCGGGAGCCCUGACUCUGGUCCCCAAGUGUUCCCAGCAAUGGUGAAUCUGAGUGGGGUGUGUGGGAAGUGGCCUUACUAUGGCACUAUAAAGUCAUCUAGAUGGAGUCACACAGUAUGGAGACUUUUGAGUCUGGCUUCUUUUACUUGGCCUCGUGCAUCUGAGACUCACCCACAUUGUUCAUGGACCAGGACUUUGUUCCCUUUCACUGCUGAGUAGAAUCCCCCGUGUGGAUAUAUACGGGUAAAUACCUAGAAUUGGAUCACGGGGUCAUAUGGUAAGUGUAUGAUUAACUCUCAGAAACUGCCAAGCCGGGACUCCCCUUGUGGUCCAGCGAUUAAGAAUCCACCUGCCAAUGCAGGGGACCCAGGUUCGAGCCCUGCUCUGGGAAGAUUCCACACGCUGCAGAGCAGCUGAGCAGCAACUACUGAAGCCUGGGUGCCUGGGGCCUGUGCACUGCAACAGGGGAUGCCACGGCAAUGAGGAGCCCUGCACUGCAAUGAAGAAGAGCCUCCGAACGCCACAGCGAGAGAAAGCCCACACACAGCAGCAAAGACCCAGCGCGGCCAAAAAACUAAUCAAUUUUAAAAAUAUAGUUUAAAAAAGGGGUAUAGAAAAGAAGGAAAAAGAAGCUGCCAAGCUGCCUUCCUGUAUCAUUUUGCACUCCCAUCAUCAACAGCAAGACCUCCCUUGCUCACAUCUUC
ensembl:lncRNA